UUCUUCUUAGAUAUUUCAAAGACCAAAUUCAAAAACAUAUAAAAACAGGACACAUACUUAAUCCUCUUGUAGUCUGCUCCUGCUUUACUAAGUUGAGAAAAUAACAAGUAAACGUGAAAAAUCUGUGCUUUGCUUUGUGCCAAUUGGCAUUUCAUUUCCACAACAAAAAAAUCGUUUGUACAAAACUUUUCAUUUGUGCCAAUUAUACAGGUAAAAGGUAUAUAGAUUAGAUUUUAUUUUACAUAUAACACACUGCAAUAUGAAAAUUGCCUCUAUUUUCCAAUAGAAAGUUAAAAUAAUCAGACUGUCUUUCAAAAAUGUCACCAGAUAUUUUCUGAUUCUUAAUGAUUGAGAUUCUAAUGGUUGCUGGUCUUCACUAUGGAAGUGUACAUUCAUUGUCUUUAUAAAUAUUUUACUGUCCACUCCUGUUGUUAUUCUUGCUUUGCAUUAGAUAACCUAUGUGUGGCCAUAAAAAUUUGACUCACAUUAUUAUCCAUUUGGGGAAGGGGGGGG
rnacentral:lncRNA from 1 species